rnacentral:lncRNA from 1 species
CUUCAUUGAAAUUUGAUUGUGCCUGCACAUUAUAAAAUACAAGUUAUGGUCCUGCAGGAUUGCCUCCCUUCUCUAGAGAUAAUUUGCUUAAUGUGUUCCAUGGUGCAAUUAAAUUGGAUACAAGUAUGCAAAAAAUAUCUUAGUAGUAAUAUAGAAAGCACCUGUCAUUCUAAUGUACUUCCACAUUUUACUAUUUAUGUUAAUUAGUACUCUGCAAUGAGCCUAAAAAUAGUACUAUAGGGAGAUGCAGGCAAGACCUAAUAUGUUGUCAUUUGAAAAUAAAAACUACCUACUUUCCAACUGUGGAUUUCAUUUGUACAUGUAAAAGAAACUAUCUUAGACAGAUAUAUGAUUCAUCAGGUUCAAUGAAAGUUAGCUUAAAUACCAUGUAUUUUUUUUGCACAAAGAUUAUUGCCUACUGUAUGCAUCCUCUUUACAUUUUUUAGUCUAUAGCGAAGUAGAAAAAAAUCAGUUCAGUAAUGCCUUUGCUCCAAACGAGCAAACAAUUGUUAUUAAUAAAAAUAAAUCACAGACUACUGAUUUCAUUUGUUUGCAGGAAAAACAUUGUAUUUUCACACUUAUGGAAAAUGAACUUUAAAUCACGAAAAGUGUUGAUUUUUUUUACAAGAGAUCUUGAGGGUGAGAUAAUUUUCACCAAAUUCAGAGGAAUAGCUUAAGUACCAGGGCGACACAUGUGGUAAUUAACAUAACAUGGAUGUUGCAUUAUAAAGAAAUGAGUUCUAUCAUUUGUCAUGCCAUGGAAGUAUGGUUUGAAGUUUCCUUACUGUCAAGAUUUUUCUUCAACAUCUACAAGCUGGCUAGCAAAAUUAUUGCAACUACAGUUCACAUCAGGUAUAAGGCGACAUGUAGGGCCAUCAUCUAUAUCCAUACAUCUUAAUCUCAUUUUCACUGACGGUUGCUUUGCUAUCUUAGUUAAUGAUUAUUACUGAAUGUAGAAACCACAUGGAGCUUGUGGCGUUUUCUUCUUUCUGUUACUAUAUAUAUAUGUUCGGAGCAAUGUAAGGUUUCUUUUUGUGAAGUUCAUCGUGCUUAUGGUACAAUAUUUAGCCAUACAAUUUCUAUUAGAAACCAUCAUCAUGUAUGCCUUUUCUUUCACUACUAUUUGUACAGCAAACCAAUGGAUCAACUAACCACAAUCUUAGCAUGUGGUAUGCGUAAAUAUAAAUAGUGAUCUAAACACUCUUAUAUUUCUUUACGCCGGGAGUAGAAAACAUGCUUAGUACAAUGCCUUCUAACCAUGCAGUAGCAGUUCCCACCCAAUGCUACUGUUUUGUACACAGACGAGAAGUUUGUUUGAGAAAGAGGAGCAUGCUUCCUGCCUUUCAUCCAAUAUUAUAUAUUUCUAUUUCUUAUGUGGAACUAACAAUUCAUGUCUCUAGCUUCUACUACUUUAUCGUUUUAGACAAAAGCUUUUGUAACCAUGAUGCUGGUAUACUUGUGAUACGUACUACAUGUGCUACCACAUUAAUAGGGUGAUUUAAAUAAAAGUACCUGAAUUUAUAUUCUUCCACAUUCCGCCAAUAUUCAGUAACAAAGUUCUAUUUUUGUUUACAAACCAGUUCAUUCGUCGCAAGGAAAAAAAUCUACUUGCUGUCGGGAACCAAAGCAACAACAGAUCAAGUUACUUGGUCGGAAGAAAUUGUCAAGGGUCGCAGCUUACGCAUGAUUGGAAGUGGCAAUCUUUUGUCUAUCUCACCUAAGUUACAUGAUAUAAAAGAUGUAGAACAACCUAGAAUUUUGCGUCUCAACUAUGUGUCAUAUUUUCUUAUUAUCAUAUACUUUUUUUUGAGAUGGUCUUACUAUUAUACUUUGUAAUGCUUAUAAUUCACAAGUGAUAGAUUCUGAGAUGUACUACUGAUGUGACCAAGGAUGUCCAGUUUUACUUGAUAUUGAGUACUGGAACUUAAAAGCUUCUUCAA